GACGAACGCUGGCGGCGUGCUUAACACAUGCAAGUCGAACGGAAAGGCCCUGCUUUUGUGGGGUGCUCGAGUGGCGAACGGGUGAGUAACACGUGAGUAACCUGCCCUUGACUUUGGGAUAACUUCAGGAAACUGCGGCUAAUACCGGAUAGGAGCUCCUGCUGCAUGGUGGGGGUUGGAAAGUUUCGGCGGUUGGGGAUGGACUCGCGGCUUAUCAGCUUGUUGGUGGGGUAGUGGCUUACCAAGGCUUUGACGGGUAGCCGGCCUGGGAGGGUGACCGGCCACAUUGGGACAGAGAUACGGCCCGGACUCCUACGGGAGGCAGCAGUGGAGAAUAUUGCACAAUGGGCGGAAGCCUGAUGCAGCAACGCCGCGUGCGGGAUGACGGCCUUCGGGUUGGAAACCGCUUUCGCCUGUGACGAAGCGUGAGUGACGGUAAUGGGUAAAGAAACACGGGCUAACUACGU
rnacentral:rRNA from 1 species